rnacentral:rRNA from 1 species
GACGAACGUUGGCGGCGUGCUUAAUACAUGCAAGUCAACUGAAGCAGUGGUACCAAUAUCGCUGUGGAGGUGGCGCACGGGUGAGUAACACGUAGGUAAUCUGCCUUCAGGUCUGGCAUAACUCCGGGAAACCGGGGCUAAUAGCAGAUGAUGCAGCGGCUCGACAUCGAGACAGUUGUUAAAGCUAUGGCGCCUGAAGAUGAGCCUGCGUCUGAUUAGCUAGUUGGCGGGGUAACGGCCCACCAAGGCAACGAUCAGUAGCUGGUCUGAGAGGAUGAUCAGCAACACUGGAACUGAGACACGGUCCAGACUACGACGGGAGGCAGCAGUAAGGAAUAUUGCUCAAUGGGAGAAAUCCUGAAGCAGCAACGCCGCGUGAGGGACGAAGGGCGUUUGCUUGUAAACCUCUGUAGUGAGAGAAAAAAAUCCCAAUCUUUGGGACAUGAUGGUAUCUCAAAAGUAAGCCCCGGCUAACUACGUG